UGCAAAUCUGAACUCUCAGUGUCUAGCAAG
rnacentral:piRNA from 1 species